CGGUGACGUGGAGCAAACCUCAGAAAGCCAAUCUCAGUUCGGAUUGUAGGCUGCAACUCGCCUACAUGAAGUUGGAAUCGCUAGUAAUCGCGAAUCAGAAUGUCGCGGUGAAUACGUUCCCGGGUCUUGUACACACCGCCCGUCACACCACGAGAGUUUACAACACCCGAAGUCAGUGGCCUAACCGCAAGGAGGGAGCUGCCUAAGGUGGGGUAGAUGAUUGGGGGUGAAGUCGUAACAAGGUAAC
rnacentral:rRNA from 1 species